rnacentral:rRNA from 1 species
UACGGAGGGGGCUAGCGUUGUUCGGAAUUACUGGGCGUAAAGCGCACGUAGGCGGACCAGCAAGUUGGGGGUGAAAUCCCGGGGGCUCAACCCCGGAACUGCCUUCAAAACUGCGGGUCGGAGGUCGAGAGAGGUGAGUGGAAUUCCGAGUGUAGAGGUGAAAUUCGUAGAUAUUACGGAGGAACACCAGUGGCGAAGGGCGGCUCACUGAGCUCGAACCUGACGCUGAGGUGCGAAAGCGUGGGGAGCAAACAGG